rnacentral:lncRNA from 1 species
AUGGAGCCUGCCCCAACUGUGAAGCUCCAAUCCAUCCCAGAAGAACUUACCCAACCUUGCCUUGAAACUCAAACUCCUGGAAUCCCAGGAGGUCAUACCCUCUGUGACAUCUGUAUGAUUCUCUACUAUUCAUUGGAUUGCCCAACUCUAACUUUUGCCCAUUGUUCUGAUCCGGAGGCAAGCUCGCUGAUCUCUCUGUCUCCACAACUAGGUGGCGCUCGUCAUUGUUUCUGGCGGCCAGGAGCAGAUGUUCCCUUUGAUCCUGAAUUAAAUAUAAAGAUUCAGUGGAGAGUUGAAGUAUGCCGAAGAUUUAUCACAACCAACGGGAAACUGGGGAAAUAAAUUCAGGUAGGUGGUAACCAGGAACUUUCAUGGAGCAGAGAGGCUUCCCCACAGCAUUUGCUCCUGGAAUGCUAAGAUGUUCCAGUUUUGUUGUGCAAAUGGCUCAAGCAGAUGAAACUGUGUUUAUGUCACCUGAGGAAAUAACCUUCAAAGAGCCUAAGUUUUCCCUGCGUCCAGAGAGAAAGACACGGUGAACAGAGCAAUCUGAAACAUAGUGUGUGUCCCGUCUGCAGUCUUUCUUUCCUCCAUCAAGCUGCUUCUGGUCAUUUCCCAACAAUGUAUCGUGGAAACAUAUGUAUGUAACAUAUUUUAAGGGCAAAUGAGAAAUGCUCCAUCGUCCUGCUUCAAGAAGUUAAUGGGAUCCAAUAAAUUCUUUUGCAAAUGUUUUCCUUCUCA